rnacentral:rRNA from 1 species
UACGUAGGGGGCAAGCGUUGUCCGGAAUCAUUGGGCGUAAAGAGCGUGUAGGCGGCCAGACAGGUCCGUUGUGAAAACUAGAGGCUUAACCUCUAGACGUCGAUGGAAACCGUCUGGCUAGAGUCCGGAAGAGGAGAAUGGAAUUCCUGGUGUAGCGGUGAAAUGCGUAGAUAUCGGAAGGAACACCAGUGGCGAAAAGCGGCUUCCUGGUCCAGCACCGACGUCAGGCACGAAAGCGUGGGGAGCAAACAGG